rnacentral:rRNA from 1 species
CACGUAGGGCGCAAGCGUUGUCCGGAAUUAUUGGGCGUAAAGAGCUCGUAGGCGGUCUGUUGCGUCCGCUGUGAAAACUCGGGGCUUAACCCCCGAGCCUGCAGUGGAUACGGGGCAGACUAGAGGUAGGUAGGGGGAGAAUGGAAUUCCCCGGUGUAGCGGUGAAAAUGCGCAGAUAUCGGGGAGGAACACCGGUGGCGA